UACGUAGGGUGCGAGCGUUGUCCGGAAUUAUUGGGCGUAAAGGGCUCGUAGGCGGUCUGUCACGUCGGGAGUGAAAACUCAGGGCUUAACCAAGGAAGUGCAUUCGAAACUACUGGACUUGAAUACUGGAGAGGAUCGCGGAAUUCCCGGUGUAGAGGUGAAAUUCGUAGAUAUCGGGAGGAACACCAGUGGCGAAGGCGGCGAUCUGGACAGAUAUUGACGCUGAUGUACGAAAGCGUGGGGAGCAAACAGG
rnacentral:rRNA from 1 species